rnacentral:rRNA from 1 species
AGAGUUUGAUCCUGGCUCAGGACGAACGCUGGCGGCAUGCCUAACACAUGCAAGUCGAACGGUAAGGCCCCCUUCGGGGGGUACACGAGUGGCGAACGGGUGAGUAACACGUGGGUAACCUACCCUUCACUGGGGGACAACCGAGGGAAACUUCGGCUAAUACCGCAUGAUGUGCGCCUUCAUGAGGAGGCGUACCAAAACUCCGGUGGUGAAGGAUGGGCCCGCGCCAGAUUAGCUUGUUGGUGGGGUAACGGCCUACCAAGGCGACGAUCUGUAGCUGGUCUGAGAGGACGAUCAGCCACACUGGAACUGAGACACGGUCCAGACUCCUACGGGAGGCAGCAGUGGGGAAUCUUGCGCAAUGGGCGAAAGCCUGACGCAGCAAUGCCGCGUGAGGGAAGAAGGUCCUAGGAUUGUAAACCUCUUUCAGCAGGGACGAAACAAGACGGUACCUGCAGAAGAAGCCCCGGCUAACUACGUGCCAGCAGCCGCGGUAAUACGUAGGGGGCGAGCGUUGUCCGGAAUCAUUGGGCGUAAAGAGCGUGUAGGCGGACUGGAAGGUCUGGUGUGAAAGCCCGGGGCUCAACCCCGGAGGGUCACUGGAAACCAACAGUCUUGAGUCCGGAAGAGGAGAGUGGAAUUCCUGGUGUAGCGGUGGAAUGCGCAGAUAUCAGGAGGAACACCAAUGGCGAAGGCAGCUCUCUGGUACGUGACUGACGCUGAGACGCGAAAGCGUGGGUAGCAAACAGGAUUAGAUACCCCGGUAGUCC